rnacentral:rRNA from 1 species
AAUAGAUACCCCGGUAGUCCACGCCGUAAACGAUGAGUGCUAAGUGUUAGGGGGUUUCCGCCCCUUAGUGCUGCAGCUAACGCAUUAAGCACUCCGCCUGGGGAGUACGGCCGCAAGGCUGAAACUCAAAGGAAUUGACGGGGGCCCGCACAAGCGGUGGAGCAUGUGGUUUAAUUCGAAGCAACGCGAAGAACCUUACCAGGUCUUGACAUCCUCUGACAAUCCUAGAGAUAGGACGUUCCCCUUCGGGGGACAGAGUGACAGGUGGUGCAUGGUUGUCGUCAGCUCGUGUCGUGAGAUGUUGGGUUAAGUCCCGCAACGAGCGCAACCCUUGAUCUUAGUUGCCAGCAUUCAGUUGGGCACUCUAAGGUGACUGCCGGUGACAAACCGGAGGAAGGUGGGGAUGACGUCAAAUCAUCAUGCCCCUUAUGACCUGGGCUACACACGUGCUACAAUGGAUGGUACAAAGGGCUGCAAGACCGCGAGGUUUAGCCAAUCCCAUAAAAACCAUUCUCAGUUCGGAUUGCAGGCUG